UGAACGCUGGCGGCGUGGAUAAGGCAUGCAAGUCGAAUGGGUUUAGACCCAUGGCAGACGAGGUAGUAACACGUAGGUACGUACCCCAAAGUCAAGCAUAACCAGUCGAAAGAUUGGAUAAUUCUUGAUAGUCCCGCAAGGGUAAAGAUUUAUCGCUUUGGGAGCGGCCUGCGUAGUAUCAGCUUGUUGGUAAGGUAAUGGCUUACCAAGGCUAUGACGCUUAGGGGAGGUGAGAGCCUGACCCCCACCGAUGGAACUGCGACACGGUCCAUACUCC
rnacentral:rRNA from 1 species